UCCUUUCAACUUAGUUCUUGUUUCUCUGCUUGCAUUUGCUCUGAUCCAAUGAUCAUAAAGGAGUAAUGUCCAACUGGACUCCAUCAACAGCUGCAACUAUAUUUCAAGAUCAAACCACCAGAAGCUAAUAAACCACUGGCUGCACCGGCUCCUGCCUCCAAUGGUUCUGCUACAGCUCCUGGUGUUCCUCCAAGGCCAUUGCCACCUCCACCUCAAGCACCACCACCACCACCACCUCAAGCACCUCCACCUUCUGCUCCACCUCCGGUCAUGAAUCCUCCUAGGCCUCCACCACCUGCACCAACUAUGGUGGGCUCACAACCUCCCCCUCCGCCACCAGUGGCAAAUGGUCCUCCCCGGCCAGUACCACCACCACCUAUGGGUGGCAGUGCGAUGGCAAACUUCACACCAGGUGUUCAAGCUCCUCGACCACCAAUGCAAGGUUUCGCUGGACAGCCAAUGCAAGGCCAAGUUUCGCACCC
rnacentral:lncRNA from 1 species